GUUGCUUCUCUGAUUUGAAAUCUGAUUGGCCAAAUUGGUUUCGACUGGUUGUUGGUCAUUCGUUUUGAGAAGCAUAUAUUGAGCUUAAAAGUGCCAGCUUUAAACAGCAUAAUGGUUUGUCUAUAGCAUUGUGUUACCUGUCACCUGGUACAUGC